rnacentral:rRNA from 1 species
GCCUACGGGGGGCAGCAGUGGGGGAUAUUGCACAAUGGGGGAAACCCUGAUGCAGCGACGCCGCGUGGGUGAAGAAGCGCCUCGGCGCGUAAAGCCCUGUCAGCAGGGAAGAAAAUGACGGUACCUGACUAAGAAGCCCCGGCUAACUACGUGCCAGCAGCCGCGGUAAUACGUAGGGGGCAAGCGUUAUCCGGAUUUACUGGGUGUAAAGGGAGCGUAGGUGGCAUGGUAAGCCAGAAGUGAAAACCCGGGGCUCAACCCCGCGGAUUGCUUUUGGAACUAUCAGGCUGGAGUGCUGGAGGGGG